GGAACGGUGGCCGAGUGGAUUAGGCACUGGAUUGUCAAUUCAGACGACGCGAGUUCAAUUCUCGCCCGUUCCG
rnacentral:tRNA from 1 species